rnacentral:lncRNA from 10 species
AGGCUGUUCUCAAACUUCUGAACUUUAGUGAUCCUCCUACCUUGGCCUCCCAUGCACUGGCAUUAUAGGUGUGAGCCACUGCUCCUGGCCAGAUUUUCUUAUUUUAGCCAUAGAAACACAAAAUUUAAUCAAGUGAUGUUGCCAACUGGGUGAGGAGUUCACAUUCUAAUCUGAUUUAAAUUAUGAGUAACUGUAAUGAUCAAUUUUAUAUGUCAACUUGGUUAGGCCAGUAUGCUCAGAUAGUUGGUCAAAUGUUAUUCUGGAUGUUUCUGUGAAGGCGUUUUUUGGAUAAGAUUAACACUGAAAUUCGUGGAGUUUACGUAAAGCAAAUUACUCUUCAUAAUGUAGGUAGGCCUCAUCCAAUCAACUGAAGGUCUUAAUAGAACAAAGACUGACCUUUCCCAAGGGAGAAGGAAUGCUGAUAGUAGACUGCCUUUAGAUUGAGACAGUACCUCUUCCCUGAGUCGCCAGCGUGCAAGCCUUCCUUGCAGAUUUCGGACUUACAAAGCCUCUGUAAUUGCAUGAGCAAGGUCUUCAAAAUAAACCUCUCUUUCUAUGUAUAAAUACUCUGUUACUUCUGUUUCUCUAGAUAACCCAAUGCAGUGAUGAUAUGGCUAAAAUCCAGGGAUGUAAGAUAGGAAACACCAUCAAGCAAAGAAAGCAACCUCAAAAUUAUAUAGCAAAAUAAGCUCAAAAAUCAUGUGAGAUAACGUAAGUUUUCUUUAGUAGGUAAGCAUUUUUCAACCCCAAGAAUAUUUGAAAUUAAGUAUAUAAAUGUCAAGAUAAAUCUGUAUUAUCAACAAUUUAGUAUUAAGAAUUUUACACAUAUUUAUUGUCUAUAUACCUGUAAUAAUUUAGAUUUGGUCUAGUAGAAGAAUAGCUUAUUUGAACAACAGUCUUGUGAUUCUAAUUUUAAAUGUAUUAUUAAGUAAUUUAUUUAGACUUGUGAGUUUAAUUUAGUAUCAUUUCUUUAUAAACAUUAAUGGAGCGGAACAUUAAGAAAACUUAAGAAUCACCUCUUUGGCCAGGCUUGGAGGCUCAUACCUGUAAUCUCAGCACAUUGGGAGGUUAAGAUAAGAGAAUGACUUGAUCCCAGGA